CCACCUGUUAUGAAACGCACUGAGACUAUCAGUGCCCACCAGUGCGUGUGGGCUGUGUCCCUACGCGUGCCACGAACCUUGGAAGUGCCCUGAAGCUUUCACAGCGACCUUAGUUGAGCAGAGGUGCGAUCACCGCAUGCCGAGAUGUUGCACCUUCCUGGUUACUGAGCUGAGAACCGUCCAGAAGAAUGUGAGACCAGAAAUUGGCCACUCCGUAAACUCACCCAACAGAUUGCGGUACCGCAGAUGAGACGUGGUCAAGGACAGGCAUGUGAAGUCCUGAGGGCUGUGUGAGCGGAGGGCGACCCGUCUCGCAACGGAGGAGAUUCUUCCGAGUCCCAGGUAGGUGGCCGGGUCUGACGCCCGCUGUUAGUGCUCACACCCUCCCCAGCUACAGACGCCACAAACAUCAAACCAGGAAUGUGCCAACAGACCUGGAGCACUGGGGCCAGUUGUUUUCACCAUCCUAAAGUAAAGUACCCUGCUGCAAUAA